UACGUAGGGUGCGAGCGUUAAUCGGAAUUACUGGGCGUAAAGCGUGCGCAGGCGGUGAUGUAAGACCGAUGUGAAAUCCCCGGGCUUAACCUGGGAACUGCAUUGGUGACUGCAUUGCUGGAGUAUGGCAGAGGGGGGUGGAAUUCCACGUGUAGCAGUGAAAUGCGUAGAUAUGCGGAGGAACACCGAUGGCGAAGGCAAUCCCCUGGGCCUGCACUGACGCUCAUACACGAAAGCGUGGGGAGCAAACAGG
rnacentral:rRNA from 1 species